rnacentral:rRNA from 1 species
UACGUAGGGUGCGAGCGUUGUCCGGAAUUAUUGGGCGUAAAGAGCUCGUAGGCGGCCUGUCGCGUCGGAUGUGAAAGCCCCGGGGCUUAACCCCGGGUCUGCAUUCGAUACGGGCAGGCUAGAGUGUGGUAGGGGAGAUCGGAAUUCCUGGUGUAGCGGUGAAAUGCGCAGAUAUCAGGAGGAACACCGGUGGCGAAGGCGGAUCUCUGGGCCAUUACUGACGCUGAGGAGCGAAAGCGUGGGGAGCGAACAGG